rnacentral:rRNA from 1 species
AUUGAACGCUGGCGGCAUGCUUUACACAUGCAAGUCGAACGGUAACAGGCCGCAAGGUGCUGACGAGUGGCGAACGGGUGAGUAAUGCAUCGGAACGUGCCCAGUCGUGGGGGAUAACGCAGCGAAAGCUGUGCUAAUACCGCAUACGAUCUAUGGAUGAAAGCGGGGGACCGUAAGGCCACGCGCGAUUGGAGCGGCCGAUGUCAGAUUAGGUAGUUGGGGGGGUAAAGGCCUACCAAGCCGACGAUCUGUAGCUGGACUGAGAGGACGACCAGCCACACUGGACUGAGACACGGCCCAGACUCCUACGGGAGGCAGCAGUGGGGAAUUUUGGACAAUGGGCGCAAGCCUGAUCCAGCAAUGCCGCGUGCAGGAAGAAGGCCUUCGGGUUGUAAACUGCUUUUGUACGGAACGAAACGGCCUGGGUUAAUACCCUGGGCUAAUGACGGUACCGUAAGAAUAAGCACCGGCUAACUACGUGCCAGCCGCCGCAGUAAGAC